rnacentral:tRNA from 1 species
GAGGGUACAGCUCAAUGGUACAGCACAUGCUUAGCAUGCACAAAGCCCUGGGUUCAAUCUCCAGUACCUCCA